AGCAGCAUGGCCUAGUGAAAAGAGCACAGACCUUGGAGUCAGAGGACCUGGGUUCAAAUCCCAGCUCUGCCA
rnacentral:tRNA from 1 species